rnacentral:lncRNA from 1 species
AUGUACCGCUAUGGUGAUUUUGUUCCUGUUGUUCAAAGCACAGCCAUAAGAUGCGCAAGGAAAAGCAAGUUGCUUGAACCAUGGGGUAGAAGUGUUUUGGGGAAGCAGCACCUCGCAGGAGGGCUAGGGCAGCUGCCACCAGCCCUGAGAGGGGUUCGCUCAGCUGUGCGGCCUGACCAGGUAAUGAAGCACUUUGGAGACAAGGAGUAUGUGCUCUGCAAGGCAAGAGAAAGAGCUGUUUUCCAGUGGCCUCCCAGGCCAGGAGUUGCACAGCUUUUGGACGCGUGCUGGCCUUGUGCAGCCCGCCAGGGAGAUGGGCUGCGCAAAGCCUCCUGAUGGUCUGGUGGAGAAGAACAGCUACAGGAGAGGAGCAGACACGCAGGAUGAAGAGUGAGGUCUGCACAGCCACAGCUUGGCCUGGGUUCACAGGAGUAUGAAGUCGUAGGUGCAUAAUUGGAGGUCAGUGAGUGACCACUUCUCUCUAGACAACCCUCGUCUCCAUGGGGGUAAAAGGAACUGAGAAGUGUGAGUCCUGCGCAGAAGCCAGAAGCAGCAGACAGUGACUCCCGGGAGCUGUACCAGAGGCUUGUGCUUCUCCAAGCAGCCGUGCUUGGUAUCUGGGGCUGUUUGCAGAGACACGGGAUGCUGUGCUCCCAUGUGCUCCCUUGCCCUUGGGCAGCUCUGCCCGACCAUAUGCUGGCACUCGUCCAGAUCUGCUUAGCCGAGUCCAAACCUAUGAGGCUGUUGCAAAGGAUCACUGGGGGAUGAUGUCAUUGCUGGCAUCAUGCUGCAGUGCCUAGCCCUGGAG